CCUACGGGUGGCAGCAGUGAGGAAUAUUGGUCAAUGGCCGGAAGGCUGAACCAGCCAAGCCGCGUGAAGGACGAAGGUGCCAAGCAUUGUAAACUUCUUUUGUCAAGGGACAAAAUCAGGCUCGAGAGCCUGACCGAGGGUACUUGAAGAAAAAGCAUCGGCUAACUCCGUGCCAGCAGCCGCGGUAAUACGGAGGAUGCGAGCGUUAUCCGGAUUUAUUGGGUUUAAAGGGUGCGUAGGCGGGCUGUUAAGUCAGCGGUAAAAGCCCGGGGCUCAACCCCGGCGAGCCGUUGAAACUGGCUGUCUUGAGAUGUCGAGAGGUAUGCGGAAUGCGCAGUGUAGCGGUGAAAUGCAUAGAUAUCACGCAGAACUCCGAUUGCGAAGGCAGCAUACCGGCGCGCAACUGACGCUCAUGCUCGAAAGUGUGGGUAUCAAACAGGAUUAGAUACCCGAGUAGUC
rnacentral:rRNA from 1 species